UAGAAGGGUCUAUAUAUAUGGCGAUUUCUCGGCCUCUGUUUCAGAAAUCCCCAAAAUUUCCAUCCCAAAUUGCUUUUCUUUCAUCUCCUUGCAUUCUUUCUACACUUAUGCUCUUCUCUUUCCACACCUCAAAGCCAAACUUUUCCGAACUCUAACCCUAACCCUAAUUAAUCAUUCUCCCCUUCUCCUUCAACCGCACGCGGAGUUGUUCGUGAUUCUCUCAUUCGAGAGUUUCGAUCGCAGAGGCUCGUCCAAAUCCGAGUUCGCAGUUUCGCCUCCUUCACGUUCUUCCCGAGUUGGGUCGGUUGUCGAAGCGCGACCGUCGGAAAUUGUUGCUGUUCUUCCUGCUAUCGAUUCGACGAUUGCAUCGCUCAGCUCCUAACUGUCGCUGUGCCGGUGCUAAGGUUGUAUCUGUUUCCAUAGAGGGCUUCGACGGAGAUUCUUCUCUUGGAUCGUAUAUUCUGAAUGCGUAACGGAAUUUUGUGAAGAAGUUCAAGAUUCCGCGUUGAUUUUUGCUGGCAGAAGAGAAUUCUAGUAGUGUUCGUGCUCUCAGCCUCAGCCUCAGCUUGUGAGUUCGAUUUGAUCGAUCUUAACCCUAGUAAUUUGCAAGUGGAGGACAAAAACAGAGAAAAGAAGAAAAAAGAAAUAGAGCUUUGGAUAUAGUAUUAAAGAAUAAAUAUACGAUGGCGGUGUAUUAUAAAUUUAAGAGUACAAGAGAUUAUGAUUCAAUUCCCAUGCACGGUCCUUUCAUCUCUGUUGGAACAUUGAAAGAAAAAAUAUUUGAAUCCAAGCAUUUAGGGAGGGGUACUGAUUUUGAUCUCGUGGUAACCAACGCCCAGACCAAUGAAGGUUGGUUCUGAGACUUUUUAAUUAAAACUAUUGAAUUCUCAUUAAGAUAGCUGUUGUUUGGGUGGCGAUACCCUGAGUUUGGGGGGUUAAUUGUAAAAUUAAAAUAUGGAACUAUUGCUUUCGUGGUUAAACUCUCGGUGUUUAUCAUGUUCCUCUCAAAGUAAACAUUUUUGCUAGUCUUGGCUUUCAGGAGUUCAUGGUGUUGAAGUUGAGUUUGAUGUUUUAUUUUCAUGCACUGACAGUGUUGUUUUACACUGAUGUCCAAUAAAAAUCAGGGAAUUGUUGUGUUGUGAUUGACAGUUAAAUAGGCAAUUCUCAUCAAUUCUAUUGGUUAAUAAAUAUAUAAGAUUACACUGUCA